rnacentral:rRNA from 1 species
AGCGAACGCUGGCGGCAGGCUUAACACAUGCAAGUCGAGCGGGCACUUUCGGGUGUCAGCGGCGGACGGGUGAGUAACGCGUGGGAACGUGCCCUCUGGUUCGGAAUAACUCAGGGAAACUUGAGCUAAUACCGGAUACGCCCUUUUGGGGAAAGGCUUGCUGCCGGAGGAUCGGCCCGCGUCUGAUUAGCUAGUUGGUGAGGUAACGGCUCACCAAGGCGACGAUCAGUAGCUGGUCUGAGAGGAUGAUCAGCCACACUGGGACUGAGACACGGCCCUGACUCCUACGGGAGGCAGCAGUGGGGAAUAUUGGACAAUGGGCGCAAGCCUGAUCCAGCCAUGCCGCGUGAGCGAUGAAGGCCUUAGGGUUGUAAAGCUCUUUUAUCCGGGACGAUAAUGACGGUACCGGAGGAAUAAGCCCCGGCUAACUUCGUG